ACUUACGGCCAUACCACCCUGAAUACGCCCGAACUUGUCCGAUCUCGGAAGUUAAGCAGGGAUGGGCCUGAUGAAUACUUGGACAGGAGACUGCCUGAGAAUACCAGGUACUGUAAGCC
ensembl:rRNA 5S_rRNA 5S ribosomal RNA